GACGAACGCUGGCGGCGUGCUUAACACAUGCAAGUCGAACGGAAAGGCCCUGCUUUUGUGGGGUGCUCGAGUGGCGAACGGGUGUGUAACACGUGAGUAACCUGCCCUUGACUUUGGGAUAACUUCAGGAAACUGGGGCUAAUACCGGAUAGUAGCUCCUGCUGCAUGGUGGGGGUUGGAAAGUUUCGGCGGUUGGGGAUGGACUCGCGGCUUAUCAGCUUGUUGGUGGGGUAGUGGCUUACCAAGGCUUUGACGGGUAGCCGGCCUGAGAGGGUGACCGGCCACAUUGGGACUGGGAUACGGCCCAGACUCCUUCGGGAGGCAGCAGUGGGGAAUAUUGCACAAUGGGCGGAAGCCUGAGACAGCAACGCCGCGUGCGGGAUAACGGCCUUCGGGUUGUAAACCGCUUUCGCCUGUGACGAAGCGUGAGUGACGGUAAUGGGUAAAGAAGCACCGGCUAACUACGUG
rnacentral:rRNA from 1 species